rnacentral:rRNA from 1 species
ACCGUCGACAGUCAGGUAACGAGCGAGACCCACGCCAACAGUUGCCAGCUCGUCCUCCGGGAUGGAGGGGACACUGUUGGGACCGCCUCUGCUAAAGAGGAAGAAGGAAUGGGCAACGGUAGGUCAGCAUGCCCCGAAUUAUCUGGGCUACACGCGGGCUACAAUGGGUGGGACAAUGGGUAUCGACACCGAAAGGUGAAGGCAAUCUCCUAAACCCAUCCUUAGUUCGGAUUGUGGGCUGCAACUCGCCCACAUGAAGCUGGAAUCCGUAGUAAUCGUGUCUCAAAAUGGCACGGUGAAUAAGUCCCUGCUCCUUGCACGAAUUCGCCG